UGGGGAAUAUUGGACAAUGGGCGGAAGCCUGAUCCAGCAACGCCGCGUGAGGGAUGACGGCCUUCGGGUUGUAAACCUCUUUCAGUACCGACGAAGCGAAAGUGACGGUAGGUACAGAAGAAGCACCGGCCAACUACGUGCCAGCAGCCGCGGUAAUACGUAGGGUGCGAGCGUUGUCCGGAAUUAUUGGGCGUAAAGGGCUCGUAGGCGGUUUGUCGCGUCGGGAGUGAAAACCCAGGGCUUAACCCUGGGCUGGCUUUCGAUACGGGCAGACUAGAGGUAUGCAGGGGAGAACGGAAUUCCUGGUGUAGCGGUGAAAUGCGCAGAUAUCAGGAGGAACACCGGUGGCGAAGGCGGUUCUCUGGGCAUUACCUGACGCUGAGGAGCGAAAGUGUGGGGAGCGAACA
rnacentral:rRNA from 1 species